rnacentral:rRNA from 1 species
AUUGAACGCUGGCGGAAUGCUUUACACAUGCAAGUCGAACGGCAGCACGGACUUCGGUCUGGUGGCGAGUGGCGAACGGGUGAGUAAUGUAUCGGAACGUGCCCAGUCGUGGGGGAUAACGUAGUGAAAAUUACGCUAAUACCGCAUACGAUCUAUGGAUGAAAGCGGGGGAUCGCAAGACCUCGCGCGAUUGGAGCGGCCGAUAUCAGAUUAGGUAGUUGGUGGGGUAAAGGCUCACCAAGCCAACUAUCUGUAGCUGGUUUGAGAGGACGACCAGCCACACUGGAACUGGAGCACGGUCCAGACGGCUACGGAAGGCAGCAGUGGGGAAUUUUGGACAAUGGGCGAAAGCCUGAUCCACCCAUUCCGCGUGCAGGAUGAAGGCCCUCGGGUUGUAAACUGCUUUUGUACAGAACGGAAAGGUUUCUACUAAUACUAGGAGCUCAUGACGGUACUGUAAGAAUAAGCACCGGCUAACUACGUGCCAGCCGCCGCCGUAA